GACGAACGCUGGCGGCGUGCUUAACACAUGCAAGUCGAACGGGUCCGCCCUGUUUUUUGCGGGGUGGGUCAGUGGCGAACGGGUGAGUAACACGUGAGUAACCUGCCCCUCACUUCUGGAUAACCGCUUGAAAGGGUGGCUAAUACGGGGUGUUCUGGCUGUGCCGCAUGGUGCGGCUGGGAAAGAUUCACUUUUGUGGUGUUUUGGAGGGGGAUGGGCUUGCGGCCUAUCAGCUUGUUGGUGGGGUGAUGGCCUGCCAAGGCGUUGACGGGUAGCCGGCCUGAGAGGGUGGGCGGUCACACUGGGACUGAGAUACGGCCCAGACUCCUGCGGGAGGCAGCAGUGGGGGGUAUUGCACAAUGGGCGGAAGCCUGAUGCAGCGACGUCGCGUGAGGGAUGGAGGCCUUCGGGUUGUGAACCUCUUUCGCCGGUGAAGAAGGUCCUGCUCUUUGUGGUGGGGUUGACGGUAGCCGGGUUAUGAAGCGCCGGCUAACUACGUG
rnacentral:rRNA from 1 species